rnacentral:lncRNA from 1 species
GAAACAUUAUGGCAAUUUUGUAAUGCUGUUGUUUUUUGUUUAGAGCAUGUAGCAAUCAGACAUGAAAAAGAUGUUCCCCUUACAAAACCAGUCAAACCGAAAAACACCGCAAAGCCAACAGCUGAAAUCCCAACAUCAGCCACAAAAAAACCAAACACAAUUAAGGAAAAAGAAGAAAAAACAACUACGAAGAAACAGCUGAAAGAUGAAAAAGCUAAAGUAAAAGAAGAUCCACGACAUCAAAACCUGACAUCAGCUCCUGUCCGCUACUUUCAAUGUGUCUUCCUAAAUGGACCUAAUGGAUUUGGGCUGCAAUUUCCAAUUAAUUCCCCUUCAAACAAGGAAGAAAAGACUCACUCAAAGACUUCCAAGAGAAAGACAAGGAAACCGGGGCAGUAGAGAGACUGAGUCCUGUGAUCACUGACAUUUUGCACUUUAUCUUUUCUGCUGAGGUCCACAGUAGCUACAGUGGUACUUGUCAUUGCAGGAACGCGAUCCACUUGCACGCAUGUACCUGGAACUGUUUCCAUGGGGCAGCGGCAGAACAAGCAGUAAUGAACGGUGUUUAACAAAGAUAGAAAUGUAAAAGUGCCCAGUUUCUCAUGGAAAGGCUGCAAUGCUAACAAGGCAUUGAUGUGACUGUGUGUGUGAGCAUGUGCGUGUGUUUUCAUGCCUCUUUCGCUCUUGUUUUUCUUUACCUACAUGCUCAGCAUUGAAGUGAGUCUGUUUUCCACUUAAUCUUAUCUAAGGAGUGAAAGGUUGAACAUAGCUCUUAUAUCAGCAAGAUUGCAAGACUAGCUGCAAUCCUAAACCAUUUCUUCUUAAUGUUUAAUCAAAUUGCUGACAGGAAAAUGCCUCACUAAGUCAUGAAAAUGUGCUCUGUGACUGGUGCUAUUUUUAUGUCUCAUUGACCAGUGUAGCCUGAAGCUCACACUUACUCGGAGCAGCUCAAUACACUAUCAGUAAGUUGACUCCACAAGUCAUAUUAAUGAUGAAUAUUUCUAUUUAAUCUGAAACUUAAAUGGACUGUUUGCCCUGUCAGUUGGUGAAAUACAAACUCUUCUCUUCCUAAGGCCCUAAGUGAGAAGAGAAAGUGAAACCAGAUGGCAAAGGUUAGGAAAAACGCUGUUUUACCAACAUGGAGGUUCGGAGAAACAAUUGAAGUAAUUAUAGUGCUUCCACUUUUCUUCUGCUGCUAAAUCAGAUUGUUUUGCGGUAAAAGCCAUGUAAAUGGACAAUAUAACAGCCAACAAUUUGCUAUUAGCUUAAGCCAGAUGAAAAGCUAGGAUGUGAGAUGCCAUUCAUGAAACUAAAGCAACCCAAAUUUGCAGUAAUUAUGUGAUUUUUUGAUGCUGAGAUCAGUGAACAAAAACAAAACCAAACCCAAACAAACGAAGAAUCAGAAAAAAAAUGAAACAUAAACACAUUAAAUAAUCCAGGUAUUUCAUUUUACUAGAUUAAAUGAAAGAACUUCCUCACAGCACACUACUGGAAGUGGCUUACAGUAGAACCAAAAGUAGAUGCGCUUGUCCUAAAUCUUCUUUUGUGCAUUUAUGAAGAAAUAAAGAAUUUGUUGCCCUAAAAAAGAGACGAGAU